rnacentral:rRNA from 1 species
AGUAUAUUAAUAUUUUUCUUUGCUUUAAUAAUUUUAAUAAAAUUAAUUUUAUGAGGAUGAUUUUAGUAUAAUUAAAGAAUAAAUUAGUAAAUUGAUAGUAUACUAGUACUGUGAAGGAAAUAUGAAAUAAGUGAAAAUUUAUUUUUGAGGAAGGAGAAUGAUAUUUGUACCUUUUGUAUCAGGGUUUAUUAAUUAGUAUUUAAGGAAGUAAGGUUCCCGAAUUGGAAAGGGUGAAAGUAAUAUUUUAGUUAAUAUGUCAUUAUUAUUAAAUAUAUUAUUUUUGUAAUGAAAUGUUAUCCGAUUUUCAAUAUAUCUGGUUUUUCAAGAGUUGAAUUUAAUUCAGGAUAUUUAUAUGUAAUCUUUUUUUUUUGUAAAUAGGUUAUAGAGAAUUAUCUAAUAUUAAGGGGGAUAAGCUCUUUAUUAGAAGUUAUAAGUGGCUUUAAAUAUAGUAAUAGGAGUAGGCUUUAAAUUAGCUAUCAUUGGAAUAUUGUUAUAAAUUGUUUAUAAAUUAUUAAUAUUUUAGGAGUGGUUUAACUUGUUUAUUGAAAUAUUUUAUAUAAUAGAUGGAUAGAAGUAAAAAUGAUGAAAUAAGUAUAUAAUGUAUUGUAUAUAAUUUAUGUUUAUAUAAUUUAUAGUAAGGAACUAGGCAAAUUACUACCCGCCUGUUUAUCAAAAACAUCUCUUUUUGAUUUAAUUUAAAGUAGGGCCUGCCCACUGAAGAAAUUUUUAAGGGCCGCGGUAUUAUGACCGUGCAAAGGUAGCAUAAUCAUUAGUCUUUUAAUUGAAGGCUGGAAUGAAGGGUUUGACGAGGUAGUAACUGUCUCACUAUAAAGGUUAUAGAAUUUUACUUUUAAGUUAAAAGGCUUAAAUGGAAGUGGAGGACGAGAAGACCCUAUAGAGUUUUAUAAAUAGAUAAUAUUAUUCUAUUUAGGAGCAUUUAGGUAAUAAAGGUUUAUUUAUUUUGUUGGGGUUACAGAAAGAUAUGAAAAAUUCUUUAUGUAUGGGACAUUGAUUAAUGGUUUAUUGAUCCAUUUUUAGUGAUUAUAAGAUUAAGUUACCUUAGGGAUAACAGCGUAAUUUUCUUUGAGAGUUCUUAUCGACAAGGAAGAUUGCGACCUCGAUGUUGGAUUAAGGAUAUAGUUAGAUGCAGUAGUUUAGUAUAUAGGUCUGUUCGACCUUUAAAUCCUUACAUGAUCUGAGUUCAGACCGGUGUAAGCCAGGUCGGUUUCUAUCCUCAUUGUAAUUAUAUAUUUUAGUACGAAAGGACCAAGUAUAUUAAAUAAUUUGUUGUUAGUAGAUAAAUAGUAAAUAGU